rnacentral:rRNA from 1 species
UACAGAGGGUGCAAGCGUUAAUCGGAAUUACUGGGCGUAAGCGUGCGCAGGCGGUUGUGCAAGACAGAUGUGAAAUCCCCGGGCUUAACCUGGGAACUGCAUUUGUGACUGCACGGCUAGAGUUGCGGCAGAGGGGGAUGGAAUUCCGCGUGUAGCAGUGAAAUGCGUAGAUAUGCGGAGGAACACCGAUGGCGAAGGCAAUCCCCUGGGCCUGCACUGACGCUCAUGCACGAAAGCGUGGGGAGCAACAGG